rnacentral:rRNA from 1 species
GGAAUCUUCCACAAUGGACGAAAGUCUGAUGGAGCAACGCCGCGUGAGUGAUGAAGGUUUUCGGAUCGUAAAACUCCGUUGUAAGGGAAGAACAAGUACGAGAGGUAAUGCUCGUACCUUGACGGUACCUUGCGAGAAAGCCACGGCUAACUACGUGCCAGCAGCCGCGGUAAUACAGAGGGUGCAAGCGUUAAUCGGAAUUAUUGGGCGUAAAGCGCGCGCAGGCGGCCUUUUAAGUCUGAUGUGAAAGCCCCCGGCUCAACCGGGGAGGGUCAUUGGAAACUGGAAGGCUUGAGUACAGAAGAGAAGAGUGGAAUUCCAUGUGUAGCGGUGAAAUGCGUAGAGAUGUGGAGGAACACCAGUGGCGAAGGCGACUCUUUGGUCUGUAACUGACGCUGAGGCGCGAAAGCGUGGGGAGCAAACAGGAUUAGAUACCCUGG